rnacentral:rRNA from 1 species
UACAGAGGGGGCAAGCGUUAUUCGGAAUUAUUGGGCGUAAAGGGCGCAUAGGCGGCUUUGCAAGUGACGGGUGAAAUCCCUCGGCUUAACCGAGGAACUGCCUGUCAAACUGCAUGGCUUGAGACCGGGAGAGGUGAGUGGAAUUCCCAGUGUAGCGGUGAAAUGCGUAGAUAUUGGGAGGAACACCAGUGGCGAAGGCGGCUCACUGGACCGGUACUGACGCUGAUGCGCGAAAGCGUGGGGAGCAAACAGG